AUGGGUGAAAGUCUCUCUGAGUCUGUACUGUAACUCUGGGCUGAGCGACUCACUUGCUGUGUCUUCAGGGUGAUUGAUCAGGCUUGCAGGGAGGAGAGACGGAGGGAAGAGAAGGGGAGACGAGUCCGGUAGCAGGCAGGCAGGCAGCUGGCUGGGUGUGUUAACUCCACAUCUGACCUCUAUGGGAGCAGAGUUGCCUCCUCUCCUCUCCAAGCAGACUGUGGGAACUGGGGGGACAGAGCUUUAUCCUCCCUCCCUCCCUCCCUCCCUCCACACCACCACCACCUCCCCACCUCUCUCUGCUUCUUGCUGGGCCAUAGAGCUCAGAGAACUGGCACUGGACAGACCGGGACAUGACAGGACAAGACAGCUCUGGCAGUGGAGCCCUCUGAGGAUUUCCACUGCAGAAGGAGUUCUGGAGCCGCCUCUGUCACUCAGACAGACGGGCGGGUUUCUUGUCUGUUAUUAGCCAGAUUUUAGUUUGUCAGCCAGUAAUUCAGUCACUGGGGUCUCUUCCACUCUGUGAAUAUCCUCAUCUGAACUCUGAUGUGACUCAGACGCCGUCCUGGACCACCAGAGGACCGCCAGAGGGUACGGUCACAGGUGUUCCACAGCUGCUGCGGAAAAGAAGCAUCUGGAGUCCAAAAACAAUGUAAUAGUGCGGAGGGCGGUAAAGGGCAGAGAGGUGGAGACCGGGCCUCUGGUCUCGCUGUUUAGGGGAGGGUUCCUGGCACCGUGAUUUGAUGCACAAAGAGAAACAAAAAUCACAUUGCCAGGGAUUUCCACUCCUUCACAGCUCAGCAGGACGUCUGUCCCGACCUCACAUUUCCACUCAGGGACUCAUUUUGAGGCCGGAUUCUGGAGCGCUGAAGGAAUUAAACCAAAAUGCUAUCAACCCAUCUCUGCAGACCUCUAAAAGGUUAAGUUGUGUCUGUGUGUAUUUAAGGCUGCAGCUGUUUGAAAUUUAAACUAUCCUCACCACUCUCUGCUCUAAUGUGCCAGGAAAUGGAUGUAAAUGCAAGCCAGAGCCACACAGGAGAAGGUUUAUAUUUCAGAUGUUGGAUUUUAGGGUUUAUAAACAAGGAAUUUAUUUGGAGAGCUAAGAUAAAAGUGGAGAUCCCUCCACUGCACCCUCUGAACACUCUGCAGAAUCUGAAACCACUGACUUCACUGCCGACGUCUCACGUAAAGGUCUGCAUAAAUCUCAGCCAGCCGCCCACUUGCUAAAGGCACAGAGCUUAGCUAAUUGGUGAGCAUUGAUCCCUGCAAUGUGUUGUUCACAGUGGCUAAGUUCAGUGCCCGAGGUGAAAUAGUUGAUUCAACGUGGAGGAUUUGUUCCGGUGGAUGGACUGAACUUGAUGAUCUCGGAGAAGCUGAAAGAAGAAGGGAUCAAGGAAGGGAAGGAGGAGUGAGAGGUCAGGAGGAGACCAAAUGACGUGUAUGGAGAAUAAGGUCACUAUUAUGGCCUGAAAGUGUGAUUUUUGAACUUGUACUGGUCUACCUUGUGCAUGAAAGAAACUUUUGCCAUUUAGAUCAGUAUAUUCUCAUAAACUGACCCAAAAAUCUGACCAUGUGACCCAUGUACAAUAAUUUAAAAUAAUACGAACUGGAGCAAGCUCAUGACGUCUCUUCUAAUUUUAUCCCUGCAUUAACAGCAUUCAAGCCUGUGCAAAAAAAAAUCCAAAAUCUUAAAUAUAUAUAAUCAUAAAGUGAAUAGAGUGUCAUUAUUGAUUGAGAGUUUAAACGUUUGUUGUGACUGGAUAAGUCACUGCUUCUUCCUGCUCCUCUUCAAACAUAUUUUGUUUUUGAUUUUACGAAUCGUUUAUUUGUUGCUAUUUUUUUUGCCUGCAUUUGUUUUACUGAUGUUUUAAGGAAGGAAGGAAAAAAAGGAAAUACCAACCCGGUUCAAGAAAGGGACAAGUUGUAAUUUUACUUAAGGCAGUUUUACUUUUAAAUUUGUAAAAAAAAAAUCACAUUUUUAUUGGCCUAUGGUAUAUUCAUGGUGCCCUUUUAUUCACUUACUAGAUUCAACACUUUCCUGUUAUGAUGGAAAUCACAACAUUCACUCUGACCACAAAAGUUUGAAUUACAGUUUCCAGCAUUUUCUAAUUUUCUCGCUCCAGCCCACUCUGCUGACUAACACAACCCAAAGCCGUACGUCGUGACCGAGUGGAUCCAAGAGUUGAGUUUGCUGAUGAUUUGAUGACUUUCAGAGUCUUUUUGAGGUAUUUUGGAGCCAACACACGAUCACUUGUGUUUUCUGACUCAUGGUAACAUCCAUCUUUAGUCUGAAAUGGAGCCAUUUUACAGUGAUGCCAUUAAUCUUUAUCUGUGAGAAUGUCACAGUAUGUGUACCUCAGUAUUAAACUAAUUUUUUACAGGGUUGGUGCAACCUAUUGCAAAGGAGUGAAACAAAAAGAUUCUUAAAUAUAACUUGAAGUUUGUCAUUGUCCUUCCUGUGCUGCUCUGUUUUUAGAAUAAAACCUAGAAGUACAGGUAAAUAUUAGUGAUAUUAACACUCCCAGCAUGAUAAACUCCGAAUAUAUAACAUUUUGUAUCUUUCCUUUGUGACUAUAUUACUUUAAAAAAAAUUUCAUUAACAUAAAUAGCUUUUUUAACCCCAUUUUGAGUUGCACGAAGUAAAGAUUUCACAUAGUCUAGUUGAAGUUAGAGAUAUUAUCAUACGCAUAAGACGUGCAAGCUUGAAAUAUUUUUCCUUGUACGUCAGUCAGAGACUUAUUUCAAUAGAUAUUUUCAAUAGACAUCUUCUCAGCUUUUAAAAACGUUGCAGUAAAACAAGAUAAGAUGCGGAAAAAACGAUAAUAAAAGUCUUAACUUGAAGCAAGAUAUAAUCCAGUUAUGAUGCUGGGAAUUGUUUUGGAUGAUUGCUGCUGGAGACUCUGACUUCAGAUACCAUUUGUUGUUGGAGUAAUGUCUGGGAUUUAAUAUUUGUGGCAACGCCAGUGAGCUGUGAAAAUACAAUUUGUGCGGACAGUUUAUGAAAAGCAUGACUUAUAUUUGUGUGCAUGGCAUGCGAAAUGUAGACUAAGCAUAUUUGAUUGAGCUAAGAAAUGUGGGUUUUGUCUCCGCACUUCUGGUCUUUCUGUUUCAUUGAGCAUGAUUUGCAAACUUUGUUCAGACAGCAGCCAAAACACUAAUUAUUACAUUAAAGCGUUCAAAACAAAUGCUAAGUUCAUGAAGCAUGAGAAUAUUAUUUUUCUGUAAGUUUUGUUUGCACACAAUUAACUAAACGUGUUUCUAAAUAUGCUACAGACUAAAUUAAAAGCAGAUCAAAUCA